ACAGUGACAUAGACAGACAGACAGACACACAUACACAUGAGAGAGAGAGAGAGAGAGAGAGAGAGAGAGAGAGAGAGAGAGAGAGAGACUUAUAGAUACAGACACACAACACACAUACACACAGAGAGACAUAUAGAGACAUAUAGAUAGACACAGCUGUCUGAGUGACACUCUUGCCUCUCUGGUCUUUGCAGUGUUAAGGAGGCCACUGGAAAAGCCAGACACCCAGGGAAGAGCUCAGGGCUGACAGCCUGAGAGCUGGUCAUUCUGGGAAACCAGAGGCCUUGGCAGUCCCCAUCUGGCAUCUAAAACCUGGAAGGCUCCAGGAGAGUUCUGGAUCUUCAGCCCACCUUGGAAGCCUAAAGAAGCUGGAGUCUGAUGCCACCAGGGGUUGGAGGCAGCAGCAGGAGAGAGAUGCACUUAAGAGGUGAAGGCUGCAGGCUGGCCACACUGCAUAUACCAUGGAGGUCAGCACUGGGAUGCACUGCCCACACGGGAAGAGUCUCCCUGCCUCAGAGACAGACAGGACUUUCAGACCCUGUGGGGAAGCUGACUUUAUUUGGAAGCUCUGUGGAGUUGUCUAAAUCAACGCUGGGAGGAAUUGAACACAGUUACUCUGUGCUCACAGACUGUGUCUUUAACAAUAUCUACAGGAUGCUUUUGAGGUAUGGUACUUGUUACGAUAAAUCUUUCUGCCAAAAGAUGCCUGAGCCCACUGCCAUGUGUGAGCUUUACGCCAGCCACCCACCCGAGUUAGGCCCAAAUGAAUACACAGAAACUUGUAUUUGGUACAGUGCUGCUUGGCCAAUGACUAGGAUUCUCAUCUGCUAGCUCAGUCUUAAUUAUCAUAAAUCUAUAUAUUUUAUAAGACUUAUCUUUUUUUUAAAUAAAAUACAUCAGAAUUUUAUUGCUUGGAGAAUA
rnacentral:lncRNA from 1 species